UUCACUUUGAGUCUGGAGGAGCUGUC
rnacentral:piRNA from 1 species